rnacentral:lncRNA from 1 species
GGACGCCUUGGGCGGGCCGGGUAAGGUCCAGCCGUAUCCGCCUCCUUCAUGUCCCGCUGUGGGAGGGGCUCUGGAGCGCCGGGACUGUGAGAUGGCCAAUGACGGUCUGACCCGUUGGGCCGGGCCAGGUCGCGGACAACGUCGACCGUUUGUUUAAGAAGCGUGGACUCUUGUCCUGAGUGCACCGAGGCUUUCAGCCUGCGGGACAGUGGUGCGAUUUGCAUUAGAGAAAGGGAGAUGCCAUGUGCUGGCCCAGCACUCCAACAGGGGCCUGACCUCUAGGAACGGGACACUGGAGGAAGCCUAGACAUCUGAACAAAUCAAGUCAUCCAGAUCCACGGUCAGCUCCUGCCCCGACUUGGCCUUCCUCCUGCUGGGCUGGCCCACGGACCUCGGGAACCUGCCCUGGCUGUGGGUGACCUGCAGCCUAUCUCCCAGGACUAUGGAAGCCCCAUGCAGGAACAUGGUUCUGACACUUUGGGGAUUAUACCCUAAGCUUAAAGGACUGGAAAAGCCCCUGAAGUCCCGAGACCACAACCCUCCACCUUCUAAAGAUAAGACAAGUCACUGAAGGUCUCAGAACUGUGGCCCAUUCACCCCUUCCCUCAAGACAAGAGUGUGGCCAAGCAUCAAUCUCACCCCCAGAGACCAGACGGUGUCCAGGUCUUGGGCAGACGAAACCUGCUCCUUGGGGAUGGUCUUCCUGGCUGUGCUUCCAAAGGGCUGGCCUGCAAUCAGCUGGUUUUCACUUGAUCCUUUCGGGGUUUGCAUUAUAUCUGACUGAAGGAAUGAACUGGGAGAGAACAGCAGAGCCGCAGCGGAAUGUGGAAAGGCCCACGUCCAGACUGUUCCCAUUCUGAUUUAAAAGCCUGAUGAAGGAACAGCUGAACUCAGAGAAACAGCAGACUUUGAGAAGCACCAGUGUGGAAGACAUUCUAAUAUCUCCUGACUGUACCAAAUUGGGAGCCUAUAGUUAAUUGUGUAGUUAAUUGUAUUCCAAAAUACUCAUUUGGAAGUCAUUUGGUAAGAAAUUCACACAUAAAAAAAGGUUAUGCUAGCAAAUAACAGAUGAAAUGU